UGGACUGAGGCCACACCUAGUCCAUUAGUAAUCGUACAAGAUCAUUAUUGUGGAAUCUGGGGAUUAGCAGAGAGGAAGAGGAUCAGACAGUAGCACCAAGCUUUGAGAAAGCGAGAGACGCACACAGGCAGCUAAUAGUGAGAAGGGAGGGAGCUCCAAGCAAAAUAUAAAGUUACAGAUCAAACCACAGCUUAAGGGGCGGAGUGGUGAAUCUUUGAGGACAGAUCCUAGCAACUAUGGUCACUGUGGUUGGCAAGGAGUCAUUCGCUAUCCACUUCCUAGUGGUGCUGAAAGAGAUGUUGGCUUUUGUACUGUUCAGUUACACUGUGCUGCUGGGGGCCCUCGGGCUGGCUGGUUGGAUUACUUACCUCAUGGUUCUAAAAUGAUCGAGGCUGUCUAGACCUCUUUGGACUUUGCUUAAUAGUACAGUGACCAUUAGCAGGCGUCACAUUAACGGAUUCUUAUGCAGUUACUGAAACACAAAGUGUAAACAGGACAAACUUUAUUUAUUAAUAUAAAUGAUGCUGUUAAAGAGUUAUUGCAAGCAUUUAAAUAUAACUUCAUUGCUUAAAUUAUUGAUAAAAUAAAUGAUUCUUUUAUUUUUAACAGUG